rnacentral:rRNA from 1 species
UACAGAGGGUGCGAGCGUUAAUCGGAAUUACUGGGCGUAAAGGGCGCGUAGGCGGUUAUAUAAGUGAGAUGUGAAAUCCCUGGGCUUAACCUAGGAACUGCAUCUUAGACUGUAUGACUGGAGUGCAGUAGAGGGUAGUGGAAUUUCCGGUGUAGCGGUGAAAUGCGUAGAUAUCGGAAGGAACACCAGUGGCGAAGGCGGCUACCUGGACUGACACUGACGCUGAGGCGCGAGAGCGUGGGGAGCAAACAGGAUUAGAAACCCCAGUAGUCC